CCAGACUCCUACGGGAGGCAGCAGUGGGGAAUAUUGCACAAUGGGGGAAACCCUGAUGCAGCGACGCCGCGUGAGUGAAGAAGUAUUUCGGUAUGUAAAGCUCUAUCAGCAGGGAAGAAAUUGACGGUACCUGAGUAAGAAGCUCCGGCUAAAUACGUGCCAGCAGCCGCGGUAAUACGUAUGGAGCAAGCGUUAUCCGGAUUUACUGGGUGUAAAGGGAGCGUAGGCGGCCUGCCAAGUCUGAUGUGAAAUGCCGGGGCUCAACCCCGGGGCUGCAUUGGAAACUGGCGGGCUGGAGUGCCGGAGAGGUAAGCGGAAUUCCUAGUGUAGCGGUGAAAUGCGUAGAUAUUAGGAGGAACACCAGUGGCGAAGGCGGCUUACUGGACGGCAACUGACGCUGAGGCUCGAAAGCGUGGGGAGCAAACAGGAUUAGAUACCCGAGUAGUA
rnacentral:rRNA from 1 species